UACGUAGGGAGCAAGCGUUAUCCGGAUUUAUUGGGUUUAAAGGGUGCGUAGGCGGGCUUUUAAGUCAGCGGUAAAAAUUCGGGGCUCAACCCCGUCCGGCCGUUGAAACUGGGGGCCUUGAGUGGGCGAGAAGAAGGCGGAAUGCGUGGUGUAGCGGUGAAAUGCAUAGAUAUCACGCAGAACCCCGAUUGCGAAGGCAGCCUUCCGGCGCCCUACUGACGCUGAGGCACGAAAGUGCGGGGAUCGAACAGG
rnacentral:rRNA from 1 species